UGGUCAAGCUACAAAGAGCCUACGGUGGAUACCUAGGCACACAGAGGCGAUGAAGGACGUGGAUACCGACGAUACGCUUCGGGGAGCUGGAAACAAGCUUUGAUCCGGAGGUUUCCGAAUGGGGCAACCCAUUAACUCUAACGCCAAUCCAUAACGUUAGAGGGCGAACCUGGCGAACUGAAACAUCUUAGUAGCCAGAGGAAAAGAAAGAAAACUCGAUUCCCUUAGUAGCGGCGAGCGAAAGGGGAACAGCCUAAACCAACGGGCUUGCCUGUUGGGGUCGUGGGACAGCAACGUGGAAUUGAGCGGCUAGACGAAGUAGUGGAAUGCUACACCAGAGAAGGUGAAAGUCCUGUAGUCGAAAGCCUAACAAUCCUAGCUGUAUCCCGAGUAGUCCGGAGCACGUGGAAUUCCGGAUGAAUCUGCGAGGACCACCUCGUAAGGCUAAAUACUCCUGUGUGACCGAUAGCGCAUAGUACCGCGAGGGAAAGGUGAAAAGAACCCCGGAAGGGGAGUGAAAUAGAGCAUGAAACCGUAGGCUUACAAGCAGUCGAAGCUCGAUUUAACGAGUGACGGCGUGCCUGUUGAAGAAUGAGCCGGCGACUUAUAGGUACUGGCAGGUUAAGGCAAGAAUGCCGAAGCCAUAGCGAAAGCGAGUCUGAAUAGGGCGUUUGUCAGUAUCUAUAGACCCGAACCCGGGUGAUCUAACCAUGGCCAGAAUGAAGCUUGGGUAACACCAAGUGGAGGUUCGCACCGACCGAUGUUGAAAAAUCGGCGGAUGAGCUGUGGUUAGGGGUGAAAUGCCAAUCGAACCCGGAGCUAGCUGGUUCUCCCCGAAAUAUGUUGAGGCAUAGCGGUUGUGAUUAUAGCAGGGGGGUAAAGCACUGAUUCGGUGCGGGCUGCGAGAGCGGUACCAAAUCGAGUCAAACUCUGAAUACCCUGUGUACACACAGCCAGUCAGACGGUGGGGGAUAAGCUUCAUCGUCGAGAGGGAAACAGCCCAGACCACCAGCUAAGGUCCCUAAAUCAUCACUAAGUGGCAAAGGAGGUGGGGAUGCUCAGACAACCAGGAGGUUUGCCUAGAAGCAGCCAUCCUUAAAAGAGUGCGUAAUAGCUCACUGGUCAAGCGUUCCUGCGCCGAAAAUGAACGGGACUAAGUGAUGUACCGAAGCUGUGGACUUACUACGUAAGUGGUAGGGGAGCGUUCUGCAUUAGUUUGAAGCACUAGCGUAAGCAGGUGUGGACGAAGCAGAAGUGAGAAUGUCGGCUUGAGUAGCGAAAACAUUGGUGAGAAUCCAAUGCCCCGAAACCCCAAGGGUUCCUUCGGAAGGCUCGUCCGCGAAGGGUUAGUCGGGACCUAAGGCGAGGCCGAAAGGCGUAGUCGAUGGACAACUGGUCAAUAUUCCAGUACUCAUCUUGGUUUGUGCAGAGGGACGAAGAAGGCUAGAUCAGCCGGAUGUUGGUUACCGGUUCAACUGUCCGAGGUGUUGAGGAGCGGUGAAAACGCUCUGAGCUGAGGCAGGAGUACGACCCACUACGGUGGGGAAGUGAUUGAUGUCAUGCUUCCAAGAAAAGCUCUAAGCACGUUAAGCCAAGAUACCCGUACCCGAAACCGACACAGGUGGGGGGGUAGAGUAUACCAAGGGGCGCGAGAUAACUCUCUCUAAGGAACUCGGCAAAAUGGCCCCGUAACUUCGGGAGAAGGGGUGCCACCGAGAGGUGGUCGCAGUGAAGAGGCCCAGGCGACUGUUUACCAAAAACACAGGUCUCCGCUAAGUCGUAAGACGAUGUAUGGGGGCUGACGCCUGCCCAGUGCCGGAAGGUUAAGGAAGCCGGUCAGCGCAAGCGAAGCUGGCGACCGAAGCCCCGGUGAACGGCGGCCGUAACUAUAACGGUCCUAAGGUUAACAACUGCUAGCCUUAGUAAAACUGAACCAUAUGCGGGAAAGUCCUCUAACAGCUUUUCACUACUCGUUCAGCGAGGCACCGGACUAGAAAAAGUUCUAAGAAAUAUUAAGGUGCUGUGGUGCUGUUCAGUUAAAAAGUGAAAGACAUGGGGAUAAUCCGCAGGAAAGACCUAGGUAAACCUAGGAAUCCUCAGAGACUUGAUGUUCAGGUGCGACACACAUGGAUUUAGAUGCCCAGUGGAUUGUUGGUUUCGUUGAUGGCGAAGGAUGCUUCCAUAUAGGAAUUAAUCCUCAUUCAAGCAUGGCAACCGGUUUUCAGGUUCUUCCUGAGUUUACCGUUGUCCAGCAUCGACGAAACAUUAAGGUUCUCUAUGCACUCAAGGCUUAUUUUGAUUGCGGUGUUGUUCGUGUAAAUCACGGCGAUCGCAUGGCCUAUCGAGUCCGUAGCAUAGAGCACUUAGCUCACCGUAUCUGUCCCUUCUUUUUGAAACAUCCACUGAAGACAAGCAAAAACAUAGACUUCCUUAAGUUCAGGGAUGUGGUGCUUCUGUGUCAAGCAGGAAUGCACUUAACAGAUGACGGUCUAGAGAAAAU
rnacentral:rRNA from 1 species